rnacentral:lncRNA from 1 species
UGAAUUUCACCGAGGUAACUAAAUGAUAAAGGUUUUAUUUUCGAUAAAAGGAUUUGUUGUAAAUUGUGCUCCAUUGGUCUUUUUGUGUUUUCUACCCACCUUUACCUCCGUGACGGUGAGAUAUCGUGAUGUCUUUACUGGGCUAGUGUAGCUCAUUCCUUAUUUAAUCAUUUCAGAUCAAGAGGACAUCGUUCCCGAGCCGCUUCUGCAGGAGGACGACGAAGGGGACGCCUAAGGACUCCAUAGUCACAUUCGUAGUUUUUACUUUCAAGUUUCU